rnacentral:lncRNA from 1 species
CUUCAUUCUCCUCUACAAAAUACUUUUGGGGACUUUUGGCAACCCUAGUUGUUGCUCGUAUAAUUAAUAUAAAAUACCUGACUUAGAGCCGUACAACAUCUCUUUUCUAAAUACGUUUAAUCUUAUCCAAAGUGAGCUUCCCAAUUUUAUUUGUGGCUUAUAGCAAAUGCCCUGAGUGCAUUUUGCAUUCAGAUCUAUAACCACUUUGUCAUCACAAGCCUCUCUGGGGCUACCCCUUUUUGGCUUUUUCUAUUUGUGUUCCCCCCCCCCUUCAUAAAACAAAGUCAGUAUGAUUCUUUCUAGCAUCUGUAGAGGGGGAAAUCUGUGAUCUGUCCCCUUUACUCAGAUCUUUCAUUUGACAUUUGGAAACUGCUCUUAUUUUUAGCAAUCAAGGCAGUGGCACAGGCUGCCUAGCUUAAAUGGUUUAGUUGGGGAUUUUUUCUUAUUUUUUGUUGCUGCUAAUGUAGUGUAAGAUUCCAGACAGGUUGAAGCGAACUGAGUUUCACUUGCUGUCACUACUCAGGACUGCCAUCAGAAGGAGAUCACCGGCAGUGCUUACACUGCUUUCCAUAUCACUAACUGGGAGCGCAAUAAAUAGAGUUCAGCUCAUUGUAGGCUCCUGAAAUGAAUGUGUGCAGACACUUCGGUUAGCUGCUUCUCUCCAGUGCAGAAGGACAGUCAGCCACUGGAUAUCUCUGCCGUCUCUCCUCUCUUCGCUGCUAGGUCUGCUGGGGACGGGUCAAGUGGUGCUGCCCAGGUUCUCAACAGCCUGGCAGGUAGAAGAGGAUCUGUAAUAGAAUUGGGAAAGAAAAAGGAGACAAGCUUUCUUUCCCAGCCCAUGGAAAAAUAACUUCCUGGAUUGUCAUCUGGAACCUGGGAAGUGCCAACAUGAGCAACAAUGAGAGGCCAGUGAACCCUGCCUCAUCUCCACUGACUGAGUGCCUGAAGAGAAAGAGGGGGAGACCAAAGAAGCAGCCACAGGAGGCUGUGGGGCCACUGCCAAUGAAGAAACCACGAGGAAGGCCAAAAGGAAGCAAGAAAGUGAAUGCUGUAUCUCAAAUGGUAGAACCUUCUGCCGAGAAAAGGCCAAGAGGGAGGCCCCGCAAGUGGAGGAGAUGUCUUCAGCCCUGCUUUGUAGCUGUUCAGUGUGCCUGACGUGGCUGGAGACCAAGACCUCCCUGGGGACAGGUCCCUGCAGUGCAGGGCAGCCAGGUAGAAUUAAGGACAUGCUAUCCAACAUCCUCUUGUGGGGCACAAAGAUCCAUGUGUGCUGUCAAAAUCUAACAUCUUUAAU